UGCCAGCAGCCGCGGUAAUACGGAGGGUGCAAGCAUUAAUCGGAUUUACUGGGCGUAAAGAGCGCGUAGGCGGGAUUGAAAGUCAGACGUGAAAGCCCAGGGCUCAACCCUGGAAUUGCAUCUGAAACUUCAUUCCUUGAGGAUAGACGGAGAAGACAGAAUUCCACGUGUAGCGGUGAAAUGCGUAGAUAUGUGGAAGAAUACCGGUGGCGAAGGCGGUCUUCUAGUUUAUUCCUGACGCUGAGGCGCGAAAGCAAGGGGAGCGAACAGGAUUAGAUA
rnacentral:rRNA from 1 species